UGGCGGCAGGCUUAACACAUGCAAGUCGAACGAUGAUUAUCUAGCUUGCUAGAUAUGAUUAGUGGCGGACGGGUGAGUAACAUUUAGGAAUCUGCCUAGUAGUGGGGGAUAGCUCGGGGAAACUCGAAUUAAUACCGCAUACGACCUACGGGUGAAAGGGGGCGCAAGCUCUUGCUAUUAGAUGAGCCUAAAUCAGAUUAGCUAGUUGGUGGGGUAAAGGCCCACCAAGGCGACGAUCUGUAACUGGUCUGAGAGGAUGAUCAGUCACACCGGAACUGAGACACGGUCCGGACUCCUACGGGAGGCAGCAGUGGGGAAUAUUGGACAAUGGGGGAAACCCUGAUCCAGCCAUGCCGCGUGUGUGAAGAAGGCCUUUUGGUUGUAAAGCACUUUAAGCAGGGAGGAGAGGCUAAUGGUUAAUACCCAUUAGAUUAGACGUUACCUGCAGAAUAAGCACCGGCUAACUCUGUGCCAGCAGCCGCGG
rnacentral:rRNA from 1 species